AGCGAACGCUGGCGGCAGGCCUAACACAUGCAAGUCGAACGGACCCUUCGGGGUUAGUGGCGGACGGGUGAGUAACACGUGGGAACGUGCCUUUUGGUUCGGAAUAGCUCCUGGAAACGGGUGGUAAUGCCGAAUGUGCCCUUUGGGGGAAAGAUUUAUCGCCAUUAGAGCGGCCCGCGCCUGAUUAGCUAGCUGGUGAGGUAAAGGCUCACCAAGGCGACGAUCAGUAGCUGGUCUGAGAGGAUGACCAGCCACAUUGGGACUGAGACACGGCCCAAACUCCGACGGGAGGCAGCAGUGGGGAAUCUUGCGCAAUGGGCGAAAGCCUGACGCAGCCAUGCCGCGUGAAUGAUGAAGGUCUUAGGAUUGUAAAAUUCUUUCACCGGGGACGAUAAUGACGGUACCCGGAGAAGAAGCCCCGGCUAACUUCGUGCCAGCCGCCGCGGUAAAAC
rnacentral:rRNA from 1 species